GACGAACGCUGGCGGCGUGCUUAACACAUGCAAGUCGAACGGAAAGGCCCUGCUCUUGUGGGGUGCUCGAGUGGCGAACGGGUGAGUAACACGUGAGUAACCUGCCCUUGACUUUGGGAUAACUUCAGGAAACUGGGGCUAAUACCGGAUAGGAGCUCCUGAUGCAUGGUGGGGGUUGGAAAGUUUCGGCGGUUGUGGAUGGACUCGCGGCUUAUCAGCUUGUUGGUGGGGUAGUGGCUUACCAAGGGUUUGACAGGUAGCCGGCCUGAGAGGGUUACCGGCGACAUGGGGACUGAGAUACGGCCCAGACUCCUACGGGAGGCAGCAGUGGGGAAUAUUGCACAAUGGGCGGAAGCCUGAUGCAGCAACGCCGCGUGCGGGAUGACGGCCUUCGGGUUGUAAACCGCUUUCGCCGGUGACGAAGCGUGAGUGACGGUAAUGGGUAAAGAAGCACCGGCUAACUACGUG
rnacentral:rRNA from 1 species